GUUGUUGUCAGUGGCUACAUCAUUUCGACCAGUGAUAUGGUUAAUCUUUGCGAUGUGGACCAAUGGCAUGAUCUGUACCUAAGGUUGGAGUUGCUGAAUUAGGUAAGAAAAAAAUGAGAACCAUUUUCUUCUUUUUCACUUCUUUAGGGAUAUGAGGAGAGAGUCUUACAGCUCUAUUGUUAAUCAGCUACUUCCUUUUUUGGAUGAUUAAUUAUUUGCAUGAAGGUUCAGAGAAUGGCCUCUAUUGCCUUACAGUCCAACUGGUAAACAUAACAGUGCCUUACAUGAGCAAUGAUGUUGAUCUUACAUACUUAUACGUAUAUGUUUCUGUAUUGCAGAACACGUGAGAAAUUACUGAUGCGCAUGGAUGACAGCUUUCCCACGACGAAGCAAAAUUGCAGGUGAUUUUCUCUACUUUCUAAUAUUAUCCAUAUAUCACAGGGGAAUGAUGGGUAGUUUUAAAAGGGAUUAGUGCUUCGUCGCACCUUUUCUAGCUUCUUUUGGCCUCCAAAUGAUAUACAAGGCAGUCAAGUUCCAUCCUCUAAUUUCUUGUGAUUUUUAUAGGACCUAUUAGGAUGCAUACCUGAAGGAGUGCAUCUAC
rnacentral:lncRNA from 1 species